AUGAUAAUACUUACGCAUCUCA
rnacentral:snRNA from 1 species